AUGGUCACACCCCUUUAAGUGGGAGUGAGAAACUACUCCUUCGUGAGGUUUUCACCUCCGUGCAGGAUAGUGGAUCGCUUUCGGGAUACAUCCGUACCUAUGUCUUCGUGAGAUUUUCAUCUCCGUGCAGCCAUAGGGAAAUGUAUCCCCCUAAACUGAACUCGGUCUGUAUGAGCCUAUAAUGGGUGAAGAUCGAGGAAUCUGCUGGUUCAGGUACCCUUACUCUAGAACCAAAC
rnacentral:lncRNA from 1 species